rnacentral:rRNA from 1 species
UACGGAGGGGGCUAGCGUUGCUCGGAAUUACUGGGCGUAAAGCGCACGUAGGCGGCGAUGAUAGUCAGAUGUGAAAGGCCUGGGCUUAACCCGGGAACUGCAUUUGAUACUGCAUUGCUAGAGUCCGAGAGAGGGUAGUGGAAUUCCCAGUGUAGAGGUGAAAUUCGUAGAUAUUGGGAAGAACACCAGUGGCGAAGGCGGCUACCUGGCUCGGUACUGACGCUCAGGUGCGAAAGCGUGGGGAGCGAACAGG